rnacentral:rRNA from 2 species
AGUUCUGAUUAUUGAAAGGUGCUUGCAUCUUGAUUUAAUUUUGAACGAGUGGCGGACGGGUGAGUAACACGUGGGUAACCUGCCCUUAAGUGGGGGAUAACAUUUGGAAACAGAUGCUAAUACCGCAUAAAUCCAAGAACCGCAUGGUUCUUGGCUGAAAGAUGGCGUAAGCUAUCGCUUUUGGAUGGACCCGCGGCGUAUUAGCUAGUUGGUGAGGUAACGGCUCACCAAGGCAAUGAUACGUAGCCGAACUGAGAGGUUGAUCGGCCACAUUGGGACUGAGACACGGCCCAAACUCCUACGGGAGGCAGCAGUAGGGAAUCUUCCACAAUGGACGCAAGUCUGAUGGAGCAACGCCGCGUGAGUGAAGAAGGCUUUCGGGUCGUAAAACUCUGUUGUUGGAGAAGAAUGGUCGGCAGAGUAACUGUUGUCGGCGUGACGGUAUCCAACCAGAAAGCCACGGCUAACUACGUGCCAGCAGCCGCGGUAAUACGUAGGUGGCAAGCGUUAUCCGGAUUUAUUGGGCGUAAAGCGAGCGCAGGCGGUUUUUUAAGUCUGAUGUGAAAGCCCUCGGCUUAACCGAGGAAGUGCAUCGGAAACUGGGAAACUUGAGUGCAGAAGAGGACAGUGGAACUCCAUGUGUAGCGGUGAAAUGCGUAGAUAUAUGGAAGAACACCAGUGGCGAAGGCGGCUGUCUGGUCUGUAACUGACGCUGAGCUCGAAAGCAUGGGUAGCGAACAGGAUUAGAUCCCUGGGGNC